UGGUGAUAGAGUUGGUAGAGUGCUUGCCUCACAUGCACAAGGCCCUGGGUUCAAUCCCCAGCACCAA
rnacentral:tRNA from 1 species